GAUGAACGCUAGCUACAGGCUUAACACAUGCAAGUCGAGGGACCGGCGCACGGGUGAGUAACACGUAUCCAACCUGCCCUUUACUCUGGGAUAGCCUUUCGAAAUAAAGAUUAAUACCCGAUAUAAAGGAUGGGGAUGCGUUCCAUUAGGUUGUUGGUGAGGUAACGGCUCACCAAGCCUUCGAUGGAUAGGGGGUCUGAGAGGAAGGGACCCGACAUUGGAACUGAGACCCAGACCAAGAUCCGACGGGAGGCAGGAGUGUAGAAUAUUAGGCAAUGGGCGCUAGCCUGAACCAGCCAAGUAGCGGAAAGGAGGAAGGCUUAUGGGACUUCAACUUCUUUUAUAGAAGAAUCUGUAUUCUAUGAAUAAGUAUCGGCUAACUCCGUGCCAGCAGCCGCGGUAAUAC
rnacentral:rRNA from 1 species